ACACCAGCUCAGCACAUUGCAUG
rnacentral:snRNA from 1 species